rnacentral:misc_RNA from 1 species
UUUCCGUAGGUGAACCUGCGGAAGGAUCAUUACCGAAUUGUCAAGAGGCUUGUUACUCGUCUUCAAACGGGGCCAUGUGCACGCUCUGUUUACACACCCACUCACACCUGUGCACCCUCCGUAGGUCUAUGGUCUGGGCGACCCAGUCUUCCCGGCGUGGUUCUACGUCUUUACACACACCUUGUAACAAAGUCUUAUCGAAUGAAAGCCGCGUCUAACGAACUAAAAUAAAACUUUCAGCAACGGAUCUCUUGGUUCUG